UACGUAGGGGGCAAGCGUUGUCCGGAAUUAUUGGGCGUAAAGAGCGUGUAGGCGGUCCAGUAAGUCAGCUGUGAAAGUCAAGGGCUCAACCCUUGAAAGCCGGUUGAUACUGUCGGGCUAGAGUCCGGAAGAGGCGAGUGGAAUUCCCGGUGUAGCGGUGAAAUGCGCAGAUAUCGGGAGGAACACCAAUGGCGAAGGCAGCUCGCUGGGACGGUACUGACGCUGAGACGCGAAAGCGUGGGGAGCAAACAGG
rnacentral:rRNA from 1 species